CUCAGCCCCUCCCACAGCCAAACUGCCCCCAGCUGUGCUGCAGGGCCGCACCUGAGGCAAGGAUGGAGUCAGCUGUGGGAGCGCAGAACAUUGUGUGAAGUGAGUUAAAGAGUUCCUGUUCUGGUCCUUGGGUGCCUUUCUGGGCUCUCGGAUAGGAGGAGAAGAGCAGCGUUCCUGGAGGACCUGGAGUACAGAGGAAGGAAGGUGGAGCUCCUGGCUGCACCGAAGUGGACAGAAAGGAAUGCUGGUUUUCUCUCCAAACUCCGUGGGGCUCAGUCAGGCUCUGUGCAGCUCUGUUGUGCUUUGUGGGGCUCUGUUGGUCUCUGUAAGGGUCUUUGGGUCUUUGUGGGUCUCUCUGGGGCUGUACAGCACUCUGUAUGGUUCCUUAGGACUCUGUGGGGCUUUUAGGGGUUCUGUGGGGCUCUGUAGGGUUGCACCACAGAGACUUUCAAAGAUCUACAGGGCACUACAGAAUCCUACAGAAGCUAACGAUGCUCCUAAUAGCUCACAGAGCCCUGCAGAACCCCAGAAAGGUGCACGGAACCCCGCAGUGCCCUCUAAAGCCCUUCAGAGCCCCCAUCAAACACUGCGAAGCCCGAGUUUCAAACACCUCUGAAAAUGUGAGUAUUGUGGGGGCUUAUUGGUUUUGGGGAUCCCACUCUUUUGAUCAGUGAUUAAUUAGUGGCUAAUUAGUUGUUCAUUAGUGAUGCAUAUUGCCUCCCUCAUAUAAUAAUCUCAAUUUUCUAAUUUGGGUGGAAAUAAACCCCCUUUUUAUUGUUUGAUGUUGUCCGCCGCUCUUUCUAAUUAAUUAAGGGUGUAAUUAAUGUUUUUAGUGGCUUAUAAGCUGCUCGCUACUGAUCCUUAGUGCCCCCACACACUCAUAAAAUAACCCCAAUUUGGUCUUUUUUGUGGGAAAAUAAACCCACGGAGCGGCUCUCCGCACUCCCCCCUUCCCUCGCUGUGCAUGCAGUACCGAACGGCAGCAGUGAGCGACAGUGUGCUACUGCGCGUGCGCGGAGUCGGGGCGGGCAGCAGUCGGUCACGUGUUGUGUUGAGCCAAUCGGGUGCCGGCACGGGCGCUUUGGCCUCUGGGAGAAAAGCAAACCGUUUCAAGGGCAGAUUCCGAUAAAAUCUCGGAAAAUAGACAAGGAAAAUUAUGGAAUCGAAGGGGGGAAAUUUCUCUGAGCCGAACUUCCAGGAAUUGUCAGCUCGCUUGUAGCCGAAUGUUGCGUAGGAAUGGGUGUUAGUUUCAUGGCUUUUGCGCAUGCGCCCUACAGCCUGGAGGACUAAAGGCAAUCAAGUUUGGCUGCACAGAGCGGUCGGAAUAUAGUUCCGCGUGUCUGUGCGCAUGCGCAGUGCUAUCUGCACUACUGAAUUGUCUCCACUGUGCAGCAGUAGUGAGCAACGCAGACGGUCACGUGCUACGCUAAGCCAAUUAGGUGCGAGUAUUCUGGCGCAUGCGUGCUAUCUCUUGGAGGACUGAUCAACCACAAAGACUGGCGGAUCAGUUGCGCAGAGCGGUCAGAACUUUGAGAAGCCAUUUUCGCUUUUGUGCGCAUGCGCUGUGCUGCCCUCUCAGCACCAAGCAGCUGCAGUUCCAGAGAUGGAUCACCAGGUGGCAGCAGAGACCGUGGAAUGAACCCCGAUGGCCUCGAGGCGGAUCGGCGGCUCGGCGGCUUUCCGUUCGUUCUUUUUGAUGCCAGGUGGAAAAACUCCAAGUUAGAAGAAAAGGGGUUAAAAAAAAUAAAGGGGCUCGAUUUACAUGUGAAAAAAAUUAAUUCUGCUGCAUCAAAAGAAUCGAUGCGGUGCAGAGCUGUGCAGGGUGCACUGAGAGCCUCUCGAGUGGGUGCACGCGCUGCUGUCUGCUGCUGCCCCUCUCCGUUAACUUCAGGAUUUGGAUUACUCAUAGCAUUACUGUUAUGGUGACUUACUUAGAUCUGUGUGGAUUACGGUGGCUUAUCUGGAUUACUUUCAGUGGAUUUGGUGGUUGAAGGUAUGACCAUUUUUACAGGACCUGUUAUUACAGACAGGCAACGCAGAGCAUAAACGGCGCAGCGACGCUCUGUCGUGCUCUGAAGCGCCGUGUGGGUCCUAUGUCCCCCCCCAGGGGCUGCGUGCUCCCUGUUCUCCUCUGAUCCCCACCAUCCCCCAGAGCCGCCCCUCCUGCAGUUCCGCGCUUUGGUCACGCAGCCUCACAGCUCGGCUCUUCCUCUUUGGAUUCCAGGGGCUGUAUUUAAUUUGCGAGAGGAAAAAGCCGCCGAUAAUUCGCGACAUCCUCUCGUUAUCUCAGAGCGCCCUGCUAUGAAGCAGCGGUGCAGCGGGAAGCCACGGGUCCUACGAGACUCCAUCAGACACUGCA